CUGCGCGGAGAGCGGCAUAGCAGUCACCCAACCAAGCGCACGGCAGUUCCGGAGAAGACCAGAAGUGCGAGCAGCCGGAAGUGCGAGUGACUUCCGUCACGGCGUGGUGCGGACAAGAGGAAGCAUGAGGUUUCGGCUGCCUGGCCGAAGAAGCGAGCCAAGAGGGCCCCGAGUGUGCCUGAGCUGAAUGCUAAGACGAGCUUAGAGGAGUACAGCAUCUUGCCGCUGGUCUCCCAGGGUAAAUGGAAAAACAAGGAGUGAGUGCUUAUUUUCUCUUCUCGUUGAAUUAAUUUCAGAACAAGGCAUCUAAUGCAAGACUUAAGAAUGUUGAUGCCUCACUCUAAAGCAGAUACUAAAAUGGACUGUAAAGACCAGUUGUCUGUAAUUAAUGAGGUGUGUGAAAAGAAAAACUGCAAGAAGUGCAUCUUUUUUGAAGCCAAAAAGAAACAGGAUCUCUAUAUGUGGUAAGAAAAUGUUAUGUUUUCUUACAUUUCCAUAUAUAGCUGGGGAUGCUUCUGUUCUAUCUAAAGUUUGCUACUGUAAUAGUGAAGAUGUGUGAAAUGUUGUUGCUUAGUUAUAUCUGUGCUAAUCCUGCACUUUUGUAGGUAGUGCAAGCUUACAAUGCAUGACCAGCUUUCAUAGACUGUUUACAAAAGCUUUUUACAAAAUUGUCUAGAAAGUAUUUUUUAAGUAUGUUAAAGGAACUCAAUAAUGCUAUAAAAGCAACUGAAAUUACUUCAAUACAGAAAUAACUGGUUGGAGUAUACUAUAGAAAUCCAACGUACCUUCUGGCUGCUGUUAACAUUUUUCUUUUCUCUUCCCCGUGUCGUGGU